GAAGGGGCCAAGCGUUGUUCGGAAUCACUGGGCUUAAAGAGCACGUAGGCGGAAAGGUAAGUGUCCUGUGAAAUCCCUCGGCUUAACCGAGGAACUGCGGGGCAUACUGUUUUUCUUGAGGCAAGUAGGGGUGCAUGGAACUCUAGGUGGAGCGGUGAAAUGCGUAGAUAUCUAGAGGAACGCCCGUGGUGAAAACGGUGCACUGGGCUUGAUCUGACGCUGAGGUGCGAAAGCGUGGGUAGCGAACGGGGAUUAGAUACCCCGGUAGUCCACGCCGUAAACGAUGUCUACUAGGUCGUGGUAGUUCUGACGCUGUCGCGGCCCGAAGCAAAAGUGUUAAGUAGACCGCCUGGGGAGUACGGUCGCAAGGCUA
rnacentral:rRNA from 1 species